AAGUCGUAACAAGGUUUCCGUAGGUGAACCUGCGGAAGGAUCAUUAUCACGUAUCCACGUAUCAACCAUUGUGAACUGUGCCUGACCGUUGAUGGGUUUGGGGAGAGUGUUAUAAUAAACGUUCUUUUUUCUUCGGAGAAAAGAGAGAUAAGAGUGAUUUGAAACUUAUCUUAGUUUAUUAUGGCCAACAAUUUUAACGAAUUGUCUCUCUACUUUUCAACGAGUAUCUUUUUUUCAAAUCAUUAUUCACCAUUUUAACCCUAAAUUCAAUUCAAUUUUGAACUGAAAUAAUUUCUUACUCAAAAACUUUUGUGUUUGAGAAGAAAUAAUCAUUACGAAACAUAAGAACAACUCUUAGCAACGGAUAUCUUGGUUCUC
rnacentral:misc_RNA from 1 species